rnacentral:rRNA from 1 species
AGUGAACGCUGGCGGUAGGCCUAACACAUGCAAGUCGAACGGCAGCACAGUAGGAGCUUGCUCUUACGGGUGGCGAGUGGCGGACGGGUGAGGAAUACAUCGGAAUCUACUUUUUCGUGGGGGAUAACGUAGGGAAACUUACGCUAAUACCGCAUACGACCUACGGGUGAAAGCAGGGGAUCUUCGGACCUUGCGCGAUUGAAUGAGCCGAUGUCGGAUUAGCUAGUUGGCGGGGUAAAGGCCCACCAAGGCGACGAUCCGUAGCUGGUCUGAGAGGAUGAUCAGCCACACUGGAACUGAGACACGGUCCAGACUCCUACGGGAGGCAGCAGUGGGGAAUAUUGGACAAUGGGCGCAAGCCUGAUCCAGCCAUACCGCGUGGGUGAAGAAGGCCUUCGGGUUGCAAAGCCCUUUUGUUGGGAAAGAAAAGCAGCAGGUUAAUACCCCGCUGUUCUGACGGUACCCAAAGAAUAAGCACCGGCUAACUUCGUG